CGCUCGCCUACCGGACACUGGAGCCUGUCCGCUUUUGAUGUUCCGCGGGCUGCCUGUCCCCGCCCCGACAGUGAAGAGAUUGGCGAAUUGGCAGAACGUUCUUGGUUCAAUGGGUGGUGGUGCAUGGGACUAUCUUCUUGGUGGAGGUAUUUUCCUGGCUUGUCCGAUAACGAACGAGGCUGUUUCCUGUGUGAAAUUUCGCCCAUCUCAUUCUUCCACCCUACCUUCUAACAGGGACCAGCGGCGGUUAACUCCGCGAUGUUGAACGAUAGAGCGUCUGUGAUGCCCUUGCAUGUCCCGGGCCGCCCGCUUUCUACACUGAAAGAAUGACCUGGCGUUCUUCCUGAUCCAUCAGGACCGGGUAACCCAGUGAACCUUCUUCUUGCUAGGGAUUGUGGCUUGCCUUUGUUCCCCAUGAACUACGAAUUCCCAGUAAGCUGCAGUCAUAAGCUCGAGUUCAUUACGUCCCUGCCCUUUGUACAUCCCGCCCGUCACUACUACCCAUUGAAUGGAAUAUUG
rnacentral:rRNA from 1 species